rnacentral:rRNA from 1 species
CCUACGGGAGGCAGCAGUGAGGAAUAUUGGUCAAUGGGCGCGAGCCUGAACCAGCCAAGUAGCGUGAAGGAUGACUGCCCUACGGGUUGUAAACUUCUUUUAUAAAGGAAUAAAGUGAGGCACGUGUGCCUUUUUGUACGUACUUUAUGAACAAGGCUCGUCUAACUCCGUGCCAGCAGCCGCGGUAAUACGGGGGAUCCGAGCGUUAUCCGGAUUUAUUGGGUUUAAAGGGAGCGUAGAUGGGUUGUUCAGUCAGUUGUGAAAGUUUGCGGCUCAACCGUAAGAUUGCAAUUGAUACUGGCAGACUUGAGUGCAGUUGAGGUAGGCGGAAUUCGUGGUGUAGCGGUGAAAUGCGUAGAUAUCACGAAGAACUCCGAUUGCGAAGGCAGCUUACUAAACUGCCACUGACAUUGAUGCUCGAAAGUGUGGGUAUCAAACAGGAUUAGAUACCCUAGUAGUC